AAUGCACCGGGUGCUGGCGCCCCCGCCCCGCGCUGUCCCUUAGACGGACGCCACGGCUCCGCCUGGCGGGCACCAGCUCCCUCCAGCUUCCCGGGCCCUGGCACGGUUUUCAUGGUCAGUGGUCCGGGGGCGGGGGGGGCGAUUUGCAGCUUCAAAUGGGUGUCUCGGAGGUCUAGGUGGCAAGAGUCGCGCCGCUUAACGGAAAUGCAAUCAAAACGCAGAAAGGGUGAGGCCAGGAACGUCCCGCUGUGCAGCUCAGUGCAGAGCAGUGCUGUGCGCGCAGCAACAGAGUACUCGGUAUUUCAUCGGGACCCCUGUGCCGGGCAGACAGCAGCGCUGGCCCUCUCCUGGAAUGAGGGCGCUUUGGCAAAAGAUUGAGCGCCUUGCAAAUGAAACCCGUUUUCUUAACUGUACCGAGGACAGAACACUGACUCUCGCAAAGGCUUAGGGCUGUAAAAGGAAUGCACACUGUAGGGUCCAUGGAUAAGACAGUUAAAGCCCCCGUGUACUUUACACGUUUUUAUUUAGCUGCUUGGAUGGAAACAACAAGGAUAAGUAAAGUGUCCGCGUGCAAACAUCUAAAACAGCUCACAACUCUAAACGGCAAAUGCGGAGAGCGGCCGAGAAUGUCACCCAAACUGAAGUCAGGGAGUCAGUCCCUGUGAGACGGACCCUCUCCUGUAAUUUGCUUUGCGAGAGGCCCUCUGUGCUGACAGUUGUGCCCACGGAAUCUCACAGAACCGGAAGCAGCAGUGAGCAGGACUCGGGCGCUGGAAGAAGAGAGGAGACUGCAAAGGGAGAGAAAUGUAUAGAAUCGUUCACUUUGCAAAUUACACUGGCAGACAGACACAUGCCUUUGAGUGGUCUCACUCAACAAGAUCAGGAUGUCUGUCUGGGCCUUGGGUCCUUAACCCUCAGGAAGCCAGAAGGGACAGAGGAGCUGAGCGGGAUAAAAGGUCCCUGGGAGGCCCAGGGCCAGGCUGCAUGGCAAGAAGUCUCCGGUGGCAUUUGACAAGGCCCCACGGUCUCCGGCCAUUCCUGAGAGCCGCCAUCCAGUGUGGAUGUCGGGGCUUUCUUUCCCUCCCUCAAGGUCAGAGCCGGGCUACGCUCCCUGCCUGCAGGGGGCCUGGCCCAUUGGCCCUGCCCAAGAGCUUACCUCAUAAGGACAGUCCUGGGGUCAGAGGGAAAACGGAAGUGUCCAGAGCUCUGAUGGCUGAAAUGGAUCUAGGGAACAGACUCUCAGAGGUUGAUACAGGGGAGGGACCUACGCUGGCCAAUCACAGCCCUUCCUUGGGAUGUUUCUAACUAUCCAGGGUGAUGUCUACAAUGUUUAACAACUGGGAGGACGGAAGUGCUGACCAAGCAGAACAGAUCCAGCCGCAGCCAGAGAGCUCUGCCAGAACGUACCAGAAGAGUUAUCCGUCCCGUGUAAGAUCUGCGACUUCCAUGCAAGGUCAGGUACAGACCAUAUGUACAUAAAGGGGCAUCUGGAAGGAUGGGCACCAACAUCAUCAGUGGGGGUGAGACUUGGGGUGAUUUUUUAAACUUUCUCCUUUACGUUUCCUGUAUUGCUUGAAUUUUCGAAAUGAGUAUACUGUGUUUGGAUUUUAAAAAUCAAGUGUUCCUUUACAGAAUGAAGGUAAAUCAGUGAAGGACCCUCCUUCAGAGCAUAGUAAGGAGUCCGAAUCUUUCUCCUGCUUCCUGCUUUCCACACUCCUGCUGGGUACCCUCUAGCAUUAGGGGCUGCAGUGGAGGGUGCUGUGGUCCAGGCCACGGGACCCUGGAGGAUAUACUGAUGUUGUCUGUGCCUCAGUUUCCCGUCUGUAAA